UGCGGGAUCGUCUAACGGUAGGACAACGGCCUUUGAAGCCGUCGAUCUUGGUUCGAGUCCAAGUCCCGCAGCCA
rnacentral:tRNA from 1 species